rnacentral:RNase_P_RNA from 2 species
GCAGCCGGACGGCUCGUCGCCGGCGCCAAGCGCGCAGGAGGAAAGUCCGGGCAACAAGAGCACCAUAUUUCUUAACGGGAAGCUGUCGGUGACGGCAGAGGCAACGUGACAGAAAAUAACCGCCCCGUUUUGGGGUAAGGGUGAAAAGGUGGGGUAAGAGCCCACCGGGUGACAUAGUGAUAUGGCAUGCCGCACGCCUUAUGGGUUGCAAGGUCAAGUAUACCGGCUAUUAAGGACUGCUCGUCCGUUGCCGGGGGGUAGACUGCUUUAGACACAUGGUAACAUGUGCCAUAGAUAAAUGACGGGCAGGGCUUUGUAUGACAGUUUCUGUCUUAUCAUAGCCCUACAUAACCCGGCUUAUAGUUCGACUGCUUUU